UACAGAGGUCUCAAGCGUUGUUCGGAUUCAUUGGGCGUAAAGCGCGCGUAGGCGGCUCGGAAAGUCGGGCGUGAAAUGCCGGGGCUCAACCCCGGGACUGCGUCCGAUACUUCCGAGCUGGAGGUAGGUAGGGGAGAUCGGAAUUCCUGGUCGUAGCGGUGAAAUGCGCAGAUAUCAGGAGGAACACCGGUGGCGAAGGCGGAUCUCUGGGCCUUACCUGACGCUGAGGCGCGAAAGCUAGGGGAGCGAACGG
rnacentral:rRNA from 1 species